AUCUUCGUGCAUAGGCAAACUUAUUGUAGCUAGACUGUACAAAGUAUAUCAAGAUAUGCCAAAUAUUGAGCUUAACUUCACCUGUUUGAGAGACGGUGUUUCUUUUAGCUUGCAACACCAUGAAAAAAUUACUGAGACACUAGGAAUGCUGUGAACUGAGAAAGUUUGGGACCUUUGGCAUAACUAAAUCCUUCAUUUAACAGUGUUGUGAACCACUUGUCAUGGGAUAACCAAAAUUAAACCUGGAAUCGCAGAAGAAACAAAUUUUUUGAAGAAAUUGGAUGUACUUUUUUAAAAUUUUUCAUUCAACUAAAACUUUGUUAACUGUUUCUUGGUUGUGGUCUUCUCUAAAUUGUAAUCUUUGGCAUUCACUUCCAAAGUAUCCACCACUAAACUUCAUAACAUUUAUUGUGUCUCUUCAUCAUUAAACUUUGAUGAAUU
rnacentral:lncRNA from 1 species